rnacentral:rRNA from 1 species
UACGAAGGGGGCUAGCGUUGCUCGGAAUCACUGGGCGUAAAGGGUGCGUAGGCGGGUCUUUAAGUCAGGGGUGAAAUCCUGGAGCUCAAUUCCAGAACUGCCUUUGAUACUGAGGAUCUUGAGUUCGGGAGAGGUGAGUGGAACUGCGAGUGUAGAGGUGAAAUUCGUAGAUAUUCGCAAGAACACCAGUGGCGAAGGCGGCUCACUGGCCCGAUACUGACGCUGAGGCACGAAAGCGUGGGGAGCAAACAGG